CCUACGGGUGGCAGCAGUGGGGAAUAUUUGGCAAUGGGCGCAAGCCUGACCCAGCAACGCCGCGUGAAGGAAGAAUGCUCUCGGGUUGUAAACCUCUUUUCUCAGGGACGCAGCAAGUGACGGUACUUGAGGAAUAAGCAAUGGCUAAAUACGUGCCAGCAGCCGCGGUAAUACGUAGGUGGCAAGCGUUAUCCGGAUUUACUGGGUGUAAAGGGCUUGUAGGCGGGAAAGCAAGUCAGAUGUGAAAACCAUGGGCUCAACCUGUGGCCUGCAUUUGAAACUGUUUUUCUUGAGUGCUGGAGAGGCAGACGGAAUGCCUGGUGUAGCGGUGAAAUGCGUAGAUAUUAGGAGGAACACCAGUGGCGAAGGCGGUCUACUGGACAGCAACUGACGCUGAGGCGCGAAAGCGUGGGGAGCAAACAGGAUUAGAUACCCGAGUAGUC
rnacentral:rRNA from 1 species